rnacentral:rRNA from 1 species
GUGGAUGAUGUGGAUUAAUUCGAUGCAACGCGAAAAACCUUACCUACCCUUGACAUGUACGGAAUCCUGCUGAGAGGUGGGAGUGCUCGAAAGAGAACCGUAACACAGGUGCUGCAUGGCUGUCGUCAGCUCGUGUCGUGAGAUGUUGGGUUAAGUCCCGCAACGAGCGCAACCCUUGUCCUUAGUUGCUACGCAAGAGCACUCUAGGGAGACUGCCGGUGACAAACCGGAGGAAGGUGGGGAUGACGUCAAGUCCUCAUGGCCCUUAUGGGUAGGGCUUCACACGUCAUACAAUGGUCGGUACAGAGGGCUGCCAAACCGCGAGGUGGAGCUAACCCCAGAAAACCGAUCGUAGUCCGGAUCGCAGUCUGCAACUCGACUGCGUGAAGCUGGAAUCGCUAGUAAUCGCGGAUCAGCAUGUCGCGGUGAAUACGUUCCCGGGUCUUGUACACACCGCCCGUCACACCAUGGGAGUGGGUUUUGCCAGAAGUAAGUAGCCUAACCGUAAGGAGGGCGCUUACCACGGCAGGAUUCAUGACUGGGGUGAAGUCGUAACAA